GACGAACGCUGGCGGCGUGCCUAAUACAUGCAAGUCGAACGCAGUGGGGACGGGUGAGUAACACGUGGGUAACCUCCCAUCAGAGGGGAUAACACUUGGAAACAGGUGCUAAACCGAUACUGAUGGAUGGACCCGCGGGGCAUUGGCUAGUUGGUGAGGUCACGGCUAACAAAGGCCACGAGGCAUAGCCGACCUGAGAGUGUGAUCGGCCACACUGGGACUGCGACACUGCCCAUACUCCUACGGGAGGCAGCAGUAGGGAAUCUUCGGCAAUGGACGAAAGUCUGACCGAGCAACGCCGCGUGAGUGAAGAAGGUUUUCGGAUCGUAAAGCUCUGUUGUUAGAGAAGCGGGAUCUAACCAGAAAGCCACGGCUAACGACGUGCCAGCCGCCGCGGUAAUUC
rnacentral:rRNA from 1 species